CAGAGGGUGCGAGCGUUGUUCGGAAUCACUGGGCGUAAAGCGCGCGCAGGCGGGCGUGUAAGUCAGAAGUGAAAUUCCGGGGCUCAACCCCGGAGCUGCUCCUGAUACUGUAGGUCUGGAGACCGGUAGAGGCUGGUGGAAUUCCCGGUGUAGCGGUGGAAUGCGUAGAGAUCGGGAAGAACACCCGUGGCGAAGGCGGCCAGCUGGGCCGGUUCUGACGCUGAGGCGCGAAAGCGUGGGGAGCAAACAGGAUUAGAUACCCUGGUAGUCCACGCUGUAAACGAUGGGCACUAGGUGCCGGGGGGAGCGACCCCUUCGGUGCCGCAGCUAACGCGUUAAGUGCCCCGCCUGGGGAGUACGGCCGCAAGGCUG
rnacentral:rRNA from 1 species